GGCGGUACCAUAGCCAAUGAGGGUUAUCCGAGGUGUGGUUAUUGCUAGUUGAAAAUUAUUAUUAUUAUCAUUGUUAUUAUUAUUAUGAUUAUUAUUAUUAUUAUUGUUAUUGUUGUUAAGGCUGGCAGAGUCGUUAGCACGCCGGGCGAAAUGCGUAGCC